rnacentral:snoRNA from 1 species
ACACGUCUCAAACACUCUGGACCUUGCUUCCUUUCCCUUGUGGAUUGGCUCAACCUAUAGCAUAGCCCUAUUUUUGGAAGACGAAGACUGAAUUGUCCGAUUACUCACCGCGAUAUCUUAUCCUUCGGGCGUAGAUAUAGUGGUCCAUAUCUUCAGGUCAACAC